AAGAGUUCAGUUUAGGGUUUAAAACCCUAAUGGUGAUUGAAUGGAAAAAGUUCAGUUUAGGGUUUAAAACCCUAAUUUUGACUAUAUGGAAAAGUUCAGUUUAAGGUUUAAAACCCUAAUGCUGACUGAAUGGAAAAAGUUUAGUUUAGGGUUUAAAAACCCUAAUGCUGACUGAAGGAAAAGAGUUCAGUUUAGGGUUUAAAACCCUAAUGCUGACUAAAAGAAAAUUCAGUUUAGGGUUUAAAACCCUAAUGCUGACUAAAGGAAAAGUUCAGUUUAGGGUUUAAAACCCUAAUGCUGACUGAAGGAACAGAGUUCAGUUUAGGGUUUAACACCCUAAUGCUGACUGAAGGAAAAGAGUUCAGUUUAGGGUUUAAAACCCUAAUGCUGACUGAAGGAAAAGAGUUCAGUUUAGGGUUUUUAAACCCUA
rnacentral:lncRNA from 1 species